GAUGAACGCUGGCGGCGUGCCUAAUACAUGCAAGUCGAGCGAACAGACGAGGAGCUUGCUCCUCUGACGUUAGCGGCGGACGGGUGAGUAACACGUGGAUAACCUACCUAUAAGACUGGGAUAACUUCGGGAAACCGGAGCUAAUACCGGAUAAUAUAUUGAACCGCAUGGUUCAAUAGUGAAAGACGGUUUUGCUGUCACUUAUAGAUGGAUCCGCGCCGCAUUAGCUAGUUGGUAAGGUAACGGCUUACCAAGGCAACGAUGCGUAGCCGACCUGAGAGGGUGAUCGGCCACACUGGAACUGAGACAAGGUCCAGACUCCUACGGGAGGCAGCAGUAGGGAAUCUUCCGCAAUGGGCGAAAGCUUGACGGAGCAACGCCGCGUGAGUGAUGAAGGUCUUCGGAUCGUAAAACUCUGUUAUUAGGGAAGAACAAAUGUGUAAGUAACUAUGCACGUCUUGACGGUACCUAAUCAGAAAGCCACGGCUAACUACGUG
rnacentral:rRNA from 1 species